rnacentral:lncRNA from 1 species
GUUGAACCUCCUCUUUGCACUCAUGCUAAUCCUAUUUUGGAACGGUAGGGGGUUGGGCUUACCUUCAAAAAAAUGCCAGGUUCGGGAAUCAAUCAAAUCGAGCAAUGGUUCGAUUAUUUGUCUUCAGGAAACUAAACUUAAUCACUUCUCGCAUCAGCUUCUGAGAACAAUCUACGGGCUGUCCUUCAAAGGAUGUCGCACUCUUGCGGCUGUAGGAUCUGCUGGUGGUCUUCUUACUGCUUGGAACCAAAACGUUGUAUCUAGUUGUCUUAUACACAAAGGAAGAUACUCGA